AAUUGUUUAGGUUGCAUUUUUCUCAUGAUGAAUCUUUGGAAUUUGCAGGAGAACGAGGUUCCCCAGGAGCCCCUGGGAAGGCAGGACCACCUGGGCCCAAAGGAGACCGAGGGGAGAAGGGCCAGCGUGGAGAGAAAGGAGACCCUGGGCAGUCUCAGUUAUGUGCCACAGGUGACUGACCACGCCACUGACCUGGGGACCUGAGCCUGGACCUGCUCCCUGCCGGCUAGCAGCACACAGACGCGUGUUCCAGAACCUAAAGACAAAACACUCUCUGUACAUAGUUUACUCCUUUGAUUACUCAAGUAAUAGGCAGCUGUUGCCCAGAUAACUCUAGCAUAUUCCUAGCAAUUCUUCAGAGGAGCUUAUAAUAUUCCUUGAAAGGCCAGGUGCCCAGGGGACUAAGGUGGGGGCGGCCCGGGAGGUGGGGCCAGCCAGGUGGCCUGGGCUUGGCCAUCACAACUGGGUGGCCUUGGGGGGCUACAGCUCUGUCCCGGGCCUCAGAGUCC